rnacentral:misc_RNA from 1 species
UGUACACCUUAUAAUCCUAAGAUGAAAGUACAAAAAGGCACAAGGUUGCAUCCCCUCAUGGUAAAAUUUUAGCUCAACCUCGGAGGUAAAAAUUAACCAACCUCACAGAAGCUCUAUAUACAAAAUUUUUGCCUUGAUCAUCUCAGAAAGCUAAUUCGGCAACUUGAGCUCAUUGUAUGGACUGUAAGGCAUCAAAAUUCGCUGACAGACGGUUCAAUGAAGCUGAGAAUCACACUGUUGGUUAGUGACCGUCCUCCUUUGUGCUUGCACUGGCACCUCCUCUGGCAUGUUUAAAGUCAUCCAAAUUUCGGAACUCUUCUCUGAGUAGUCUAUCCAGUUCUGGAAGCUUCUUCAAAGGUGCUCUCUGACCUCGUUGCUGACGGAAAUGGUGAAAGGCCCAGUACUUCUCAAGGCCGUAAAGGUUUCCCCUAUUGUAGGUGUCAAGCGUCAAUCUCUCAAAGUCGUCAUAAAGGUCCUCUCUAAAUUCCUUUUCCAAACCGUAACUAUAAAAUCUAAAUAGGCACUCCAUCCCAUAGUUAUAAUUAGCAGCUGCAUCUUCUUGAGCCAUCUUUUGGAACUCAUUGUACAUAGAACGUAUGAACAUGUUCCGCAGAAAAUACGACCAAAA